rnacentral:rRNA from 1 species
CAAUAGCGUAUAUUAAAGUUGUUGCAGUUAAAAAGCUCGUAGUUGAAUUUUUGCUUGACGCCGAUGUCGGAACUUCCGUACGUUCGGCGGCGUGCAUCCUUGGGUGGAACCUGUGUGGCAUUAGGUUGUCGUGCAGGGGAUGCUCAUCGUUUACUGUGAAAAAAUUAGAGUGUUCAAAGCAGGCUUACGCCGUUGAAUAUAUUAGCAUGGAAUAAUAAGAUAGGACCUUGGUACUAUUUUGUUGGUUUGCGCACCGAGGUAAUGAUUAACAGGGACAGUUGGGGGUAUUCGUAUUCCAUUGUCAGAGGUGAAAUUCUUGGAUUUCUGGAAGACGAACUACUGCGAAAGCAUUUACCAAGGAUGUUUUCAUUAA